UACGUAGGGCGCAAGCGUUGUCCGGAAUUAUUGGGCGUAAAGAGCUCGUAGGCGGCCAGUUGCGUCUGCUGUGAAAUCCCGGGGCUCAACCCCGGGCGUGCAGUGGAUACGGGCUGGCUAGAGGCAGGCAGGGGAGAACGGAAUUCCCGGUGUAGCGGUGAAAUGCGCAGAUAUCGGGAGGAACACCAAUGGCGAAGGCAGCUCGCUGGGACGGUACUGACGCUGAGACGCGAAAGCGUGGGGAGCAAACAGG
rnacentral:rRNA from 1 species